UCGGUGCCCUACGAGCUGGUCCUGGAAGAUCUCCAAAGCAAGAGCGAGCUGCUGCUGAAGCACAACCCCAUCCACCAGAAGGUGCCGGUGCUUCUUCACGGCGGCCGGGCCAUCUGCGAGUCCCUCCUCAUCAUGGAGUACGUCGACGAGGCCUUCGACGGGCCGCCCCUCCUGCCGACUGAUCCCUACGCCCGUGCCAUGGCCCGUUUCUGGGCUCAGUUCCUAGAACAGAAGUGCGCGAGGCCGUUCUGGCUAGCCAUGUGGCUGGACGCUGGCGAGGAGCAGAAGGCCUACGUGAAGGAGAUGAAGGAAAACCUGGCGCUGCUGGAAGGGCAGCUCCAAGGGAAGAGGUUCUUCGGCGGCGACUCCAUUGGCUACCUCGACGUCGCCGCCUGCGGGCCGGCUCACUGGAUCUAUGCGUUCGAGGAGGUGACAGGGGUGAGCUUGAUGGGCGAGAACGACGAGUUCCCUGCUCUGCGCCGCUGGGCAAAGGAGUAUACCGAGAAUGAAACCGUGAAGGAGUGCCUGCCGACGAGGGAGCAGCUCGUCGCUGUUUUCAGCGCGAACAAGGACAAAUACAAGAUGAUAGCCAACGAGAUGCUCCAUCAGUAG
rnacentral:rRNA from 1 species